rnacentral:rRNA from 1 species
UGAAGCCUAGGGGGGCAGCAGUGGGGAAUUUUGCGCAAUGGGGGAAACCCUGACGCAGCAACGCCGCGUGCGGGAUGACGGCCUUCGGGUUGUAAACCGCUUUCAGUAGGGACGAAUUUUGACGGUACCUACAGAAGAAGCCCCGGCUAACUACGUGCCAGCAGCCGCGGUAGUACGUAGGGGGCGAGCGUUAUCCGGAUUCAUUGGGCGUAAAGCGCGCGUAGGCGGUCAUGUAAGCGGGACCUCUAAUCUUGGGGCUCAACCUCAAGCCGGGUUCCGAACUACAUGACUCGAGUGUGGUGGGG